rnacentral:lncRNA from 1 species
UCAGGGAUCUAAAAUACAAAUAUCCCAAGCUUUGAAACACAGCAUUUAAACAAGGACCAAAUUGUAGCAAUGCGUAAAUCACAGGGAAAAUGUAAAAACAAAUAAACAGAAUCAAGGCUGAAAAACAAAUCAAUGUAGGAUAAGAGGGACUCGGCGUACAAAUUGACCUUUCAAGGUGAAAAGGCAAGGCCAUAAUAACCUCUGACCGAAUAUUCUUCUCAAAACAGGUUUCAAAACCCUUUUCUCUCAAAAUUUUUCAACCUCUUUUCCCUUUCAGUCGACUGAACCAAAAGGUUAUUCACUCUUUGCCUCCACGUUAUCAAAUCGGACCCUCCUAAAUCCCCAUCAGAGCUUCGAUUUCAACGAAUUCAACAAGGAUUCGAAGGCUCCUCAAGAAGAUAAGUAUUUUUGCUUCUGCUUAUUUUAUUUUUUACACACACAAAUAACAAAAAGCAAAGAACUCAAAGCAAAAUCUACAGAAAAAUGAGAUUUUAAAAUCACCUCUUGAACUGUUCCCGUUUUUCUAUUCAAACUUCUCUGUAUAGAUUUGUAUCCCCCCCUUUACAUUGUUUACAAAUGGUCUUUUAUAGCCGAAAACCCCCAAAAAAUGAAAAGAAAUUGAGACUCUCAUCAUCCCUCUUUUCUGUUAUCUCUUUGCUGUUAAUUAUCCUUGCUGUUAUUUGCUUUAGUUAUUAGUUCGUUUUGCAGGUGUGUAUGGCGUGGAGUGAAGCUGUUUGUGGGCGUGCUGGCGUGGAGGAGGCAGUUGGAGGCUACAGCAACUGAAGCUUUUAGGGUUUGCUGAGUAGUUUUUUUGGGGGGGGGGCUGGGAUUUGUGUUAUUUGUUGGGUCUGGUUUAUUCUUGGUUUUAGGGUUUACAAAUGGUCUUUUAUAGCCGAAAACCCCCAAAAAAUGAAAAGAAAUUGAGACUCUCAUCAUCCCUCUUUUCUGUUAUCUCUUUGCUGUUAAUUAUCCUUGCCGUUAUUUGCUGUAGUUAUUAGUUCGUUUUGCAGGUGUGUAUGGCGUGGAGUGAAGCUGUUUGUGGGCGUGCUGGCGUGGAGGAGGCAGUUGGAGGCUACAGCAACUGAAGCUUUUAGGGUCUUCUACAUAUACUUUAAACCCUUUUUUCAUUAUUAUUCACCUGGUGGAUGGGUCAAUCUGUAGCUAGAAAGAAAUUUAUAAUAGUUAUAUUGUCAAAAUGGUUUUACAAGUAAAUGCUUGAAUUAGAACUCAACAUUUUAAAGGUUGCUCAUAUAAGCGUCAAACCUUUUAAAAUGGUCAAAUAAGAAUUUAACAUUUACAGAAGUGCUCAAAUAAGGGCACUCUUUAGCUCAAUUUAUAGGAAAAUUUUGGUAAAUACUAACAUGUUUAAAAUAAAAUACAUAACACCUGAACUAGAUAUUGCUUGAAAAGAAAAGAAAGCAACUAGAGCAUAAUUUGAAAUCUGAUAUACAACUUUUGAGAAGCCCUUAUUUGAGCAAUUUUGAAAAAGUUUGACUCUUAUUUGAGCACUUUCGAAAAAGGUUAGGUUUUUAUUUAACCAUUUUAAAAAGUUGAUCCUUCAUUUGAGGACUUUUAUAAAUGUUGAGCCCUUAUGUAAUAACUUUGAAAAGUUUAGCUCUUAUGUGAGUAACUUCUAAAGAGUUAAACCCUAAUUUAUGCAUUUAGCAUUGGUUUUACUGAUAAUUUGAUAGAUAUAAAUGAUAAUUAAUCUCAUGAUGACAAUUUGCAACUAGCGGUUGCUAUGUAUUUGUGUUUAUAUGAAUCUUUGGGCCUAAAACAUACUUAGUUCAUGGUCUUGUCCCUUUGGAAUUAAAUAAACUCCGCAUCAUGAAAAGAAACUGUGAAGGUUUCAUAUGUGCAUCAAAUAUAACAAUAGAGUUAAAUAAAGUUUAAGAUGUAUAAUUAUGAAAGUUUGCAAAAUUAAAUUAGAUUUUAUAAUUGUUUAAUGCGUGAUUUGGAUUUAAAAUUUUGAAUUUGGG